GAAAGUUCUUAAUUGGCUCCAGGUGUCUUGAUUAGCUUGCCUGUCUUAAUUGGUUCUAGCAGGUUCCUGAUUGCUCUAGGGCAGCCCCUGCUCUGGUCACCCAGGGAACAGACAACUGUUUAUCCAGUGGACAGUAUAUUUGCCUUCUACCAGACUCCUGUACCCCACUGGUCUGGGUCUCAAUAGGUCCAGACUGCUGUUUCAACCUUCAGGAG